UACGGAGGUGGCAAGCGUUGCUCGGAAUCACUGGGCGUAAAGGGCGCGUAGGCGGGGAGGUAAGUCGGGUGUGAAAUCCCUCGGCCCAACUGAGGAACUGCGCCCGAGACUGCUUCUCUUGAGUCCCGGAGAGGAAGAUGGAAUUCCCGGUGUAGCGGUGAAAUGCGUAGAUAUCGUGAGGAAGACCAGUUGCGAAGGCGGAUCUCUGGGCAGUUCCUGACACUGAGGCACGAAGGCCAGGGGAGCAAACGGG
rnacentral:rRNA from 1 species